rnacentral:rRNA from 1 species
UACGAAGGGGGCUAGCGUUGCUCGGAUUGACUGGGCGUAAAGGGCGCGUAGGCGGUUUGCACAGUCAGACGUGAAAUUCCUGGGCUCAACCUGGGGGCUGCGUUUGAUACGUGUAGACUUGAGUGCGGAAGAGGGUCGUGGAAUUCCCAGUGUAGAGGUGAAAUUCGUAGAUAUUGGGAAGAACACCGGUGGCGAAGGCGGCUAUCUGGCCCGUAAUUGACGCUGAGGCGCGAAAGCGUGGGGAGCAAUCAGG